AAAAAAAAGUUCAUUAAAAAAAAAUUGUAAGUGGGGGUUCUAUCCCUUACUUCAGAGUAGGGCUAUAUAGUUUUAAAAGA
rnacentral:tRNA from 1 species